GUCAGGUGUACAGUAACUACAGGUAACAGGAGUCAGGUAUACAGUAACUACAGGGGUCAGGUGUACAGUAACUACAGGUAACAGGGGUCAGGUGUACAGUAACUACAGGGGUCAGGUGUACAGUAACUACAGGUAACAGGGGUCAGGUGUACAGUAACUACAGGUAACAGGAGUCAGGUGUACAGUAACUACAGGAGUCAGGUAUACAGUAACUACAGGUAACAGGGGUCAGGUGUACAGUAACUACAGUACAGUACAUGUUUGUCUGAGUGCCAGUGGAACAGAAGCUUCUCUUCUCCUUCUGUCUGUAAUUCUCCGGUCUUUCUUUGACACCCAGCAUAACAUUGUCGUGGGGUAUGUUAUUUUCGCUACAAGGGGUGCCGAAUCAGUUGGAAGGGCAUUUUAUUUCCAUAGCACGUAUUUAAUGUGUGCUAUAUCAGAGACAAUGGGCGGCAGGUGAGUUUCAACUUUGGGGAAGCUUACAAUUUAUCCUACAAUUUCUACCGAUCUACGUGGCA
ensembl:lncRNA